AUGCCGAGGUAUCAGUGAUUUUUUUUAUAGAAAAUUUUUUUUCACAUAGCAAUAUAGCUUUUAUUAUUGUUUAGUUCAUUGAAAAUAGGAAAAGUUAACCGUAUCCGCAUCAUAUUGAAAACACGAAUUGAAACCAAGGAAACAAGAAAUUCAUUUUGAAGCUCAACAUAAGAUCUGUUCGGACGUGUUCUCAGAUCUUCUAUUUCAGAAAACUUGCUUUAUUAAAUGCUUAUCAUUCGAAUUGCACUAGGUGCAUUUUAUGAAAAUUCCAGGAAAGGUUCAUAAAUCUGGGAUACUAACUUAUUAAGGCGUUCUUAAUCAAUGCAAAAAGAAGCAGAUUAACUGAAAUAUUUAUAAUUCGUACUUGUGCAUAUCUUCUAGAAUCAUUUUCUUGAUUUUUGUGAAGAUUUUGACAAAGAAUUACAGAAAUAUUCAGAACCUGCUUUCUUCAGUUUUCUGAUAAAAGGGAAGAAAGAAACAAAUAUUCCUCUAAAAGUAUUAUGAUUAUCAUUCCUUAUGAGUUUUCAAGAGAAGCUGAUGUUCCUCCAAGUACUAAAGCUGAAAUUAUGAGUCUUGGAUUCCAAGCCUAGAGAAUAUUUUUGAAAGAGACAGUUGUAUAAUUUUUUACUUUUAGAAUGGAAAGUGGCUAAUUGGGUUAUGGAAUGUUUGGCCCAUCUUCACAUUGAGAAAUCUUAUUUAUCUUACUACAACUCUGCCACAUUCAAAGAAGGUAGAGAUAUCAGCGGAAUAGCAUCAUCUGAUGACUUCACUGAUUGGCCUGAAAAAUAUGAAAGAGGCACUUGGCUGCAACAGGGAAUCAUUGAUAUAAUCAUGCAUAAUAAAGUGAAAGACUUCAUCACAAGAUAGAACAUUCAGCACGAGGAGCUGCAAUACUUUAUGAGAAAGUAUACAUCAUCACUGGAACAAUAUUUCAUCAUGAAAGGUUUCAUCUACUAUAAACUGCAUUUCAAACUGCAUCUAUGAAGAAAAAGAAAUUCCUGUCCACCAUGUUAAAGAAUUCUGCCUCAUAGUACGUUAGAAAAUAAAAGAAUUGGCUCCUCACUUUGAAGCAGAAUGGCCCAGAAGAGUAGUUUCCAAACCAAUUUCCUGAGUAAGACCAUUGCCAUUAUCAAGGACAUAUAUGUUGAUCAACAUCUUUUUUUCACUUCAUUUCUGAAAUAAUCCUGUUAAAAAAAUGAAUGUUCUCUGCUAGGGUAACAUUGCUAAAUUUUUCGUGCUUUGUGUAAUAAGAUUUCUUUCCAAUAAUGAAUAUGAAGGUGUUAUUAUGGAAAGGGAUCAAAAUAUUUUAUUUUAUUUUUUAAGUAUGUAUUAUGCAGUAUUG